UUAAACGAUCCCAUAACAUUGCUGUGGGAUACCAUACCAUAGCAUUCCUGGAGGCUACAAUUGCACAUUACUGUGGUACAGUGGAAAGUGAAGUGUUGUGGAGUUAGCCUACAACAGAGCGGCCUGUGGUGAAGUGCUAUGGUGACCGCAAUCAUCUGUGUUGUUAUUAUUCGUGAAUUUACAUGUAGCCUAAUGCUAAUGUGUCAGCACAGAUUCUUUCGAACACCCGUUAAGUUAAGUGAUCUGGUGAUAAAGCUUUUGAAUGCCAACGGUAUUGUUAUGUGAGGCUAGCAUUGUAAUUGUUAUGAAAGGAUAACGUUACAUUGUAGUCGUAUGUUAAGUGUGUUUGGAAGAAGCAUCUGCUAAUCAUACACAUAGCUAACGGUAUAUGGACUCUACAGCCCAUUAUGAUGUGGUGAAUUGACUGUGCUGUGGCAGAGACUGUAGCGUGUGUGCUUUACAUGAGAGAGGUCAGGGGUUCAAGACUGAGUCGAUGGGUGUGAGGUAUGGGUAGGCCUGUCAUGGGAGGCGGAAAAAUGGCCAGCAGGAAGGUGUGCAGCAGCCACUGGAAUGACCUCUUCCACCUCCUCCACUAACAGCUCCUCAUCAGCCGGCAGUGGGAUGUGAUCCUGAAGGGCCAUGUUGCAGAAGCGCCGCCACCAAAACUACACUGCACGCCUUUGCAGGAUGGAGCUUCAGGCCACCAGCGGAUUUGCUCACACACCUUUCCACAUGCCCAAGGCCCUCUCCACAACAACGCGGGUCCGGCUAUGGGCGUUGUUGUACCGCGCCUCUGCCUCGCUGUUGGGCUCCUAGAUGGAGCAGUUGACAUGCUUGUAUUAUCAUAGGGGGUUGAUGGAAUAAAGUAGGUCUUGAAAUGUCAGUGCACUCACAGGGAAUAUAGACAUGCAUUUGAAAACAACAGUAUAGACUUUGCUACUAUCUCAGCAGCAGAAGGCAACAACAUGAGCAGCACCUACAGUAACACUGUGUGUGUGUGUGUGUGUGUGUAUGUUGGUACAGCUGGCGCAGAUCCUUCAACCAUUUGAGCAUUGAAACAUUUGUGCUAUGUGAACUGUGAUUUUGUGGUUGUGAUUCAACACACAACUUCAUAACUACAAUGGAUGAAAAGUAAUGGUAAAAAAACUGUAUCUGUGCAUUUAAAAUAUCAUGAAAUACUUGUGUGUGGUAACAGUAUUCAGUUUUCAGUGUCACAAUGAAAACACAUAACAAGGGCAACAUUGGGCAAAUGCUGCAUAAAGGCAUGAAAAUAUUCCAGUGAAAUGAAGGGCAAUGAUAAA